AACGAACGCUGGCGGCAUGCCUAACACAUGCAAGUCGAACGCUCGUAGCAAUACGGGAGUGGCAGACGGGUGCGUAACGCGUGGGAACCUGCCCAGAGGUUCGGAAUAACUGCGGGAAACUGCAGCUAAUACCGAAUGUUGCCUGAGGGCUAAAGGAGUAAUUCGCCUUUGGAGGGGCCCGCGUCCGAUUAGCUAGUUGGUGGGGUAAUGGCCUACCAAGGCGACGAUCGGUAGCUGGUCUGAGAGGAUGACCAGCCACACUGGAACUGAGACACGGUCCAGACUCCUACGGGAGGCAGCAGUGGGGAAUAUUGGACAAUGGGGAAACCCGUAGAUCCACGCAAUGCCGCGUGGGUGAUGAAGGCUCGUGU
rnacentral:rRNA from 1 species